rnacentral:rRNA from 1 species
GCAUAUCAAUAAGCGGAGGAAAGAAACCAACAGGGAUUGCCCCAGUAACGGCGAGUGAAGCGGCAACAGCUCAAAUUUGAAAUCUGGCCCCCAGGGUCCCGAGUUGUAAUUUGCAGAGGAUGCUUUGGUGAGGUCGCGCCCGAAUUCCCCGGGAAGGGACGCCCCAGAGGGUGAGAGCCCCGUUCGGGUGGCCACCCAGCCUCGGUAAAGCUCCUUUGGCGAGUCGAGUUGGUUGGGGAAGCUGCUCAAAAAGGGAGGUAUUUGUUUUUUAAAAGUAAAUAAUGGCCCGAGGCCGAUAGGGCCCAAGUAGAAGGAUUGAAAGAAGAAAAACCCCUUGAAAAGAGGGUUAAACCGUUCGGGAAAUUGGUGAAAGGGAAGGCA